rnacentral:rRNA from 1 species
ACGAUGGAGAGUUUGAUCCUGGCUCAGGAUGAACGCUAGCGGCAGGCCUAAUACAUGCAAGUCAAGGGGAUAGCAAUAUCACCGGCGGACGGGUGCGUAACGCGUACAC